UAAACGUGAAGGCUAGAAAUCACUUUAAAAAACGGGGCCCAACUGAAAAGCCAUAUGAGUAGGAAAACU
rfam:Lutibacter flavus strain DSM 27993 genome assembly, contig: Ga0070584_13